rnacentral:rRNA from 1 species
AUUGAACGCUGGCGGCAUGCUAUACACAUGCAAGUCGAACGGCAGCGCGGGCUUCGGCCUGGCGGCGAGUGGCGAACGGGUGAGUAAUGCAUCGGAACGUGCCCAGUAGUGGGGGAUAGCCCGGCGAAAGCCGGAUUAAUACCGCAUACGACCUGAGGGUGAAAGCGGGGGACCGAAAGGCCUCGCGCUAUUGGAGCGGCCGAUGUCGGAUUAGCUAGUUGGUGGGGUAAAGGCUUACCAAGGCGACGAUCCGUAGCUGGUCUGAGAGGACGACCAGCCACACUGGGACUGAGACACGGCCCAGACUCCUACGGGAGGCAGCAGUGGGGAAUUUUGGACAAUGGGGGCAACCCUGAUCCAGCCAUGCCGCGUGCGAGAAGAAGGCCUUCGGGUUGUAAACCGCUUUUGUUCGGGAAGAAAUCCUCUGGGCUAAUACCCCGGGGGGAUGACGGUACCGGAAGAAUAAGCACCGGCUAACUACGUG